rnacentral:lncRNA from 1 species
CGGACGCAGCGCCUAGUGAUCCACCGCGGAGCCGCGCGAGGCCGCCCGAGCCCGAGCCCCAGCCCCGAGCCCCGAGCGAGCGCCGCCGCCGCCUCUCGCCAGCCGGUGCCCGGACGCGCCGCCGCCGCCACCGCCGGGAAGGCAGCCGGUGCCUAGGAAGUUGCGAGUGCGCUUCUCCGCCCGGGGAAAGUUUCCCCCGCGGCCGCCGACUGGAGUUGGCGCGGGAUCCGGCCACUGCCGCUGGAAGAGUUUAUCCUGAAGCUACCAUCAGAAAGAGACUUCAAGAGAAUCUUGACAUCCCUGAAAGGAAAAGACAACAGUUGAAAGAGGUGGGCAUCUCCUGGACAGCCCCGAGCUUGCAGGGACCAGACCUUCCGACCCCAUCAUCCAAGCUACGUGAACCCUUUGAAUUUGAACUUCCAAAAACGUGGGCACAACCUUUUUCCAGACUUCUCGACGCAGGCUACCCAGGACAAGCUGGGCCAAUAACGGAAAUAUACAGGAACCCCUCUGACCAAGAGACUGUCCCGCUGACAUCAGAACUGCCCAGGUGACAAGUCAGCAAUUGCUCCCCCCUUCCCCGUCCCUGUGCACCCCUGUGCCAUCCCCUGAUACCGUCCUGUCUUCCCAGCAGACCUUUCUCAGUCUGUCUGUCUGUCCCUUCCCGUAUCUCUUCUUCUGUCUCUUUCCCUGUCUCUCUCUCUCCUUCAGUCUUUCUCCAUCUUUCCCUCUCUUUCUGACUUUGUCUGUUUCUCUGAUUUGCUGAGUCUCUACCGUUCUGUGUCUGUUUUCUCUUUUCCCACUCUUCCUGCAUUUAUUCAUUCAUUCAGACAUAGGAAUUGAGGACCCA